rnacentral:rRNA from 1 species
GUAGCGAGUGGCGAACGGGUGAAGUAACACGUGGGCAAUCUGCCCAAAAGUGGGGGAUAACACUUGGAAACAGGUGCUAAUACCGCAUCAACCGGCUGACCGCAUGGUCGGCCGGGCAAAGACGGCGUAAGCUGUCGCUUUUGGAUGAGCCCGCGGCGUAUUAACUAGUUGGUAAGGUAACGGCUUACCAAGGUGAUGAUACGUAGCCGAACUGAGAGGUUGAUCGGCCACAUUGGGACUGAGACACGGCCCAAACUCCUACGGGAGGCAGCAGUAGGGAAUCUUCCACAAUGGACGCAAGUCUGAUGGAGCAACGCCGCGUGUAUGAAGAAGGUCUUCGGAUCGUAAAAUACUGUUGUCAGAGAAGAACACGGGAUAAAGUAACUGUUGUCCCGCUGACGGUAUCUGACCAGCAAGUCACGGCUAACUACGUGCCAGCAGCCGCGGUAAUACGUAGGUG